CUGCCCUGUAUUUAUAGGGCAGUUCCUUAAAGUGAUCGGCGGAGUUAGGGCAUACUCUAAGCGUAGUAAUAUUCUUCUCGCUUCUGUAGUUGUCCUGGCGGCUUGCCGUUAAACCCCUAUAUUUCUAGUGGUUGACCUCGGAUUAGGUAGGAAUACCCGCUGAACUUAAGCAUAUCAAUAAGCGGAGGAAAAGAAACCAACAGGGAUUGCCCUAGUAACGGCGAGUGAAGCGGCAACAGCUCAAAUUUGAAAUCUGGCCCUAGCGGUCCGAGUUGUAAUUUGUAGAGGAUGCUUUUGGUUAGGUGCCUUCUGAGUUCCCUGGAACGGGACGCCAGAGAGGGUGAGAGCCCCGUACGGUUGGACACCGAGCCUCUAUAUAGCUCCUUCGACGAGUCGAGUAGUUUGGGAAUGCUGCUCUAAAUGGGAGGUAAAUUUCUUCUAAAGCUAAAUACCGGCCAGAGACCGAUAGCGCACAAGUAGAGUGAUCGAAAGAUGAAAAGUACUUUGAAAAGAGGGUUAAAUAGCACGUGAAAUUGUUGAAAGGGAAGCGUUUGCGACCAGACUUUUUCCAGGCGGAUCAUCCGGUGUUCUCACCGGUGCACUUCGCCUGGUUUAGGCCAGCAUCGGUUCUCUUAGGGGGAUAAAGGCCUGGGGAACGUAGCUCCUUCGGGAGUGUUAUAGCCCCUAGCGUAAUACCCUUCGGGGGACCGAGGAACGC
rnacentral:rRNA from 1 species